rnacentral:lncRNA from 1 species
GGCAUGUCUAUAUAAUGGAAUAAUAUAAAAUAAGGCUAAUUCAUACACAGUGACUAGGAUAUAUGUUACAUAUGUUUUUAAGUGAAGAGAUUAGGUCACAAAUCAAUAUAAAGAGUUAAAUUUAUUUAAAAAUACAUGAUACUUACAGGGAUCUGAUGCUUCACGCAUAAAGGAUCAUGUAUCCAGCAGAAAUUCUCAGGGUUUGGAGUUGGCAAAACUCUAAGGUAAAGUGACGUUUCAUUUCUUUUCAUAGCCAUAUAAGUUUUGUUCUCCACACUUGUGAGACUACUACUUAGAUGGAGAAAUAUGAAAUUACCACUAUUCCUUCAUCCCACAAUGUGCUCUCUCCCACUCACUGUUCCUAUACAAAAUUAAAAAUCAUGCUGACUUUCAUUGUUCCUACAUCCUCGCUUUUUUUAGAGUUUACUACCUAAGCAUGCAUGUUUACACAUUGUAGAACAACUCUGUGUGUGCACUUUGGAUAAAUAGAAUAAUCCAUUAUGAAUUCUAUUAUGGGGACUUCUUUUGUUCAAUAUUAUGUGUAUAAAAUUCAUUCAUAUUGCAAGGUAUAGGGGUCUAUUUUCAUUUUUGUAUAAUACUCUCUCUAUAUACUAUAUACCAUACUUCAUAAUUCUGACUAUUGAUGGGUGUUAGACUUAUUCACAGUUUGAGGCUCUCAUGAUCUGCUAUGAACAUUCUUGUGCAAAUAUCUUGGUGCAUCUGCAUGUGUGUUUCUGUUGAGUAUUCUAGCAAUAAAUUGUAAGUUAUAGGGUAUGUGUCACUUCAAGUUAAGUACUUGAUGACAAACUUUUUACUCUCAUUAGCAGUGUAGUCCCUUUUGCCUCAGAGUCUUUCCAAUACUUGGUCUUGUCAUUAAUACUUUUAAAGCCAUUUUAAUGGGCAUGUAAGGGCAUUUCUUGUGGUUUUAAUUUGUAUUUCCAUCAUUAUUAGUGAAGUUGUUCAUUGGCUAUUUGAGUAAUCUGUUGGAAAUUGUCUGUUCCAAUACCAAGAACAUUUUCCCCUAUUGGAUUUUUUGAUCUGUGUUUUAGUCAGCUUUUUCAGUGCUGUGACUAAAACAUCCAACCAGAGCAACUUUAGAGGAGGAAAAGUUUAUUUGAGGGCUCAAGGUUUCAGAAGUCUCAGUCCAUUGACAGCUGGCUUUAUUCCUCAGGUCUCCAGGUAAGGCAGAACAAUAUGGAGGAAGAAUGUGGCAGAGGAAGAAGUUCAUAUGAUGAUUGGGAAGCAGAAAGAUGCUCCACUUGCCAGAUACAAAUAUGUACCCCAAAGGCAUGCUCCCAAUGCCACACCUCCUCCAGCCACAUCCUACCUGCCUUCAAUCACGACUCAAUUAAUCCCAAUCAUUUUCUCUCUGAACCCUCUUGCAAUGUCUCACAUGUAAGCUUUGGGGGGACUCUUCACAUCCAAACCAUAACAAUCUGGC